GAGAAAGCAAAAGAAGAAGCCCAAGGCAGUUAUGAUUCCACACUCUACAGAAGCUUUCCUGCAGACAGGUCGUCAGGAAUGAACCAAGCCUUUUCCAGAGUGUAGCAGUUUAUAAGUCAAUAAAGUGAC
rnacentral:lncRNA from 1 species